UAAAUUUUUCUCUCUCUAUGACCAAGAACAAAAAGCAAAGGGAUGCCAAAUCUUCAGCCCCAAGGUGUGAGGCCCUUUAGUUUCGGCCCCACGGUGUGAGGCCCCCUCUCUUAGCUGCUUGUCAGUAUUCUAUCUGGCUGGGGAAACAAGGCCCCCUGCAGCACCAAAUGAACAACACAACCUCUCACUGUCCAGGCACCAUGCCACCACGACACCGGGUCAGACUGGAGGACGCAGACCAAAGCACUGAGGCAAUGACCAGGCAGUUCAGAGGCCUCUCUUGGGCAAGUUCACUGUGGCCAGGGUGGAGCCGACAGUGCACGCAGGGACUAUUCUAGACACAAGAAUGAGAAGACUAAGAUACAUGGCCUCAGCUCAUGAGUGGAGAUGGAUGGGACAAUCAUAUACAACUGAAUAAAUGAUGUGAUGGAAGAAAAGAGGCGGCCCAUGGGAAACAUGGAAAGGCACACAGCCUAUCCCUGCGAGAGGGACUGACAUCAGAAACAAGAGCUGAUGGACUGGCAAGUCUAGUGAUGAAGCAUGAAGAACGGUCCCUGCAGCAACUAUGAAGAGCAAAAAUUUGAGAGAAUAUCACCAACUUGACAAUAUGCAAAUUAAUUAAUUAAUUAGUACAAAUGCUAAGAGGCCUCCACUCCACGAAGGACAGCUAUAGAAUCUAUGAAGACCAACAAACAGUGAGAAGAUGCUGCUGUCAGAAGCGGGAGAGUGAAUGACAAUAACUCCAUUGAUUGAGUCCUUGCUGGAUGCCCGGCAUGGCGCUCAGCACUUCCAGACACCAGGAACUCUUGAUCUUCAGAACAACCAGGUGAGAUAACUAUUGAAAAGA